UACGGGGGGGGCAAGCGUUGUUCGGAAUUACUGGGCGUAAAGGGCUCGUAGGCGGCCAACUAAGUCAGACGUGAAAUCCCCAGGCUCAACCUGGGAACUGCGUCUGAUACUGGUUGGCUUGAAUCCGGGAGAGGGAUGCAGAAUUCCAGGUGUAGCGGUGAAAUGCGUAGAUAUCUGGAGGAAUACUGGUGGCGAAGGCGGCAUCCUGGACCGGCAUUGACGCUGAGGAGCGAAAGCUAGGGGAGCAAACGGG
rnacentral:rRNA from 1 species